rnacentral:lncRNA from 1 species
GGAUAAGAUGUGACCCAUAUUUCUUUUCACUCCUCAGUAAACUGUUAUUUUGUUCUUUUCUCAGGAAAACCCUCUAUGAUUAGUGUUUGCUGAUCUGUCUGUGGAUCUGCCAGCAGCCUUGUGACUUGCAUUCUCUUUAAGAUUUCUUUAACAAGAAAAUCUUCAUUUUCGGCCGGGCACGGUGGCUCAACCUGUAAUCCCAGCACUUUGGGAGGCCGAGGCGGGCAGAUCACGAGGUCAGGAGAUCAAGACCCUCG